rnacentral:rRNA from 1 species
UACGUAGGUGGCAAGCGUUGUCCGGAAUUAUUGGGCGUAAAGCGCGCGCAGGCGGUUCCUUAAGUCUGAUGUGAAAGCCCCCGGCUCAACCGGGGAGGGUCAUUGGAAACUGGGGAACUUGAGUGCAGAAGAGAAGAGCGGAAUUCCACGUGUAGCGGUGAAAUGCGUGGAGAUGUGGAGGAACACCAGUGGCGAAGGCGGCUCUUUGGUCUGUAACUGACGCUGAGGCGCGAAAGCGUGGGGAGCAAACAGG